rnacentral:miRNA from 1 species
UGCUUAUCAGCCUGAUGUU